rnacentral:rRNA from 1 species
CCUACGGGAGGCAGCAGUGGGGAAUAUUGCACAAUGGGGGCAACCCUGAUGCAGCGACGCCGCGUGAGUGAAGAAGGUUUUCGGUUUGUAAAGCUCUUUCGGCCGUGACGAAAAUGACGGUAGCGGCUUAAGAAGCACCGGCUAACUCCGGGCCAGCAGCCGCGGUAAUACGAAGGGAGCGAGCGUUAUCCGGAUUUACUGGGCGUAAAGGGAGGGUAGGCGGAUGUGUAAGAUAGCGGUGAAAUGCCGGGGCUCAACCCCGGAACUGCCAUUGUGACUAUGCAUCUAGAGUAAUGGAGAGGAUAGCGGAAUACGCAGUGUAGCGGUGAAAUGCGUAGAUAUUGGGAAGAACACCGGUGGCGAAGGCGGCUAGCUGGCCAGUAACUGACGCUGAGGCUCGAAAGCAUGGGGAGCAAACAGGAUUAGAUACCCGAGUAGUC